rnacentral:rRNA from 1 species
GACGAACGCUGGCGGCGUGCUUAACACAUGCAAGUCGAACGGAAAGGCCCUGCUUUUGUGGGGUGCUCGAGUGGCGAACGGGUGAGUAACACGUGAGUAACCUGCCCUUGACUUUGGGAUAACUUCAGGAAACUGGGGCUAAUACCGGAUAGGAGCUCCUGCUGCAUGGUGGGGGUUGGAAAGUUUCGGCGGUUGGGGAUGGACUCGCGGCUUAUCAGCUUGUUGGUGGGGUAGUGGCUUACCAAGGCUUUGACGGGUAGCCGGCCUGAGAGGGUGACCGGCCACAUUGGGACUAAGGUACGGCCCAGACUCCUACGGGAGGCAGCAGUGGGGAAUAUUGCGCAAUGGGCGGAAGCCUGAUGCAGCGACGCCGCGUGCGGGAUGACGGCCUUCGGGUUAUAAACCGCUUUCGCCUGUGACGAGGCGUGAGUGACGGUAAUGGGUAAAGAAGCACCGGCUAACUACGUG